GACGAACCGUGCGAACGUUGUUCGGAAUCACUGGGCUUAAAGGGCGCGUAGGCGGGCUGGUAAGUCAGGGGUGAAAGCCCACGGCCCAACCGUGGAAGUGCCUUUGAUACUGCCAGUCUCGAGGGAGGUAGGGCGUGCGGAACUUCCGGUGGAGCGGUGAAUGCGUAGAUAUCGGAAGGAACGACCGGUGGCGAAAGCGGCGCGCUGGACCUCUUCUGACGCUGACGGCGCGAAAGCCAGGG
rnacentral:rRNA from 1 species